GGCGGGUGCCAUGCGUCUGGAGCUUCACAUUCUCUGCCCCCCACCCACCGCGCCGGCGCUCCCUUGUCACGCCUCGGGAAGCGCGCACCUGCCAAGCAGGUUUCCAAGAUUACUGAGAAAGAAGAAAGUACUGAGGAGCCUUAUGAUGAAUAAUCUGAUAUCAUGUGAAAUGAGGAAAUAAGAAGCUUUCUGCUGACUUCAUUUUGACCCAGGGUCCAAAAGGUGAUGUAAUCCUGUGGCAAGAAGAUUCAAAACUGUGGACUAUCUUGCAAAAAAUACAAGAAGAUAUUGAAAGUUUUCAUGAGUGCCUACCACCUAAUCUCAAACACUAUCAUUCAUAUGUGCCUCAUUGAGCAAAUCUUUAAUGAGGAUCUAUAUGCCAGCAAUAUCUUUUGCUUGGGAGCAGAAACAGAAAGUACAUGAUGGACUUCAUUGAAGGAUGGAGAUUUGGAAGACAUGAAUGGAUGAAGAACCAAGUGCGUGAGGGCACCUAUCAGGAUUAUUGCUGAAAUCCUUAUGGAGUUAACUGGCUGAGAGGAAGGCAAGCAAGCGAGGACUGAUGGGCCCUUGGCACUGUGAGAACAGUGGAGGAGGAGGGAGCAGGGUUCAUAAGGAGGAGCACAAACAGAAAGUUCAGUGGCCCCAAUAAAAAUAACACCAGAAUCUUCCAGAUACUUUCUCCAUAAGGCGAAAAGUAGAGAUGGGGUUUCACCAUGUUGCCCAGGCUGGUCUCAAACUCCUGAGCUCAGGCCAUCUGCCCGCCUCGGCCUCCCAAAGUGCUAGGAUUACAGAUUUCUGACUUCAUAUCUGUGGGAUCCACACAAUGGGGAGGUACUGGCCUUGGAAUCCAUGGUUCCCCAGCUAUCAUUUUACUUUAGAAUUACAGUGUUCUCUGUUAGUGUCAAGGGAAUGAACCUGACGAGAAAAGACCAAACAUAGGACUGUUACAGGGAAGAAAAAUAUGAAAAGACCUAAAGAUGCACGUCCUCAUUAUAUGUAAGGAAUCUAUUUCCUAGAAUCCUAUAAAAAGCUCAAGUGAAUUUGCUUCAGUUAAUAAAUGUGAUUUAAUUAUAA
rnacentral:lncRNA from 1 species